AUGCACUUUCUUCCCCGUCUUCCACUCUUCUUCCUCCUCUCUUCUUCUUCCUCCUCUCUUAUUCUUCCUCCUCUCUUCUUCUUCCUCCUCUCUUCCCCAUCGUCGGCCGCACACCAUUUACCCCCGCUCACUACUCGCCCGCCCGCGCCAUCUUCCUUGGUAGCUCGCGCGUACCAUAUCCCCCCGCUCACUGCUCGGCCACACGAGGAGAAGCUUCUUCGCUCGCCCGCCCGAAUCCACUUCCCCGCUGGCUCACAGGCACCGAAAACCCCAAUGGCAGAACCGACUGACACGCAGAGCCGCGUUUGGAAUUCCCUCCCUGAUGUUCUCUUGGAGCAGAUCUGUAGUCGUAUGGACCUACUCAACCUACCAUAUAACUGGAAUUACCGAUGCAAGUCGAAGAAGGAUUGGCCGGUGCUGCCGGCUGGCGUCAAGUUCGAUCCCACAGAUCAGGAGCUGAUCGAGCACCUUGAGGCCAAAGUGAGUGCUAACAGCGCGAGAUUUCAGUCUCUCAUCGAUUUGUUCAUACCAACCAUCGACAGCGAGCACGACAUAUGCUACACCCAACCUGAGAAACUUCCAGGUAUCACACUGAGUGGCCUAAGGAAGAAUUUCUUCCAGCGCAAUUCCAGGGCGCUCAAAAGGGGCACACGGGCAGCAAAAAAGGUUCUGGUGCUGCACACCAACAAGAACUUCGACCAGCAGAGGACCAACUGGGUGAUGCACCAGUACCACCUCGGGGACCUGGAGCAAGAGAAGGAGCGGGAGCUGGUCCUCUGCAAGAUUUUCUACCAGACGAACACUAGGGCUAGGAGUAAAAAGAUUAUAAGUCGAGCAAGUUUCAACUGGGCUAUAGACUUAUUAACAGGCCCAGCCCAUGACGACAGUGGGGCACAAAUAUCCAGCAGAUUAACCCACCUGGCCCUAGGGAUGCCCUUUUUCAUGUCUUGCAAGCAAUAA
rnacentral:rRNA from 1 species